UACCCGAAACUUACGGCACGUAGUCGUACUUUCCUUACGACCCGUAACAGUAUAAAAAGGGAAGGGAGCGAAACCUAGAACUCCAAACAACAGCAGACGGACAAUUUCUGCUUCCACGCUCAGCUACCUGUGAGAUCCCAGCCUUAGGAUGUUUCCACACAGGCAACUGGGGGUCGUUGUGGCAGCCGUCCUGUUCGGUCUUUCGUCGGCCUCUGAAGGAUUAGGUGGAAACGCCCUUCUGUUUCCCAGCGAGACCGACUACAGCUAUGUCAAACUAGUGCCCCAGAAACCCUUGCAGCUGCAAG